UUCGGAGGAUGGCUCAUCAAGCUAAGUAAGGAGCUCCCUGAAGCCAUAUCCGAGGC
rnacentral:pre_miRNA from 1 species